AAAAAAGGUAAGCUACUAAGAGCGAAUGGUGGAUGCCUUGACUGGUAAAGGCGAUGAAGGACGUACUAGACUGCGAUAAGCUACGGGGAGCUGUCAAGAAGCUUUGAUCCGUAGAUUUCCGAAUGGGGCAACCCAAUGUAUAGAGAUAUACAUUACCUAUAUAGGAGCGAACGAGGGGAAUUGAAACAUCUUAGUACCCUCAGGAAAAGAAAUCAAUAGAGAUUGCGUCAGUAGCGGCGAGCGAAAGCGCAAGAGGGCAAACCCAGUGCUUGCACUGGGGGUUGUAGGACUGCAAUGUGCAAGAGGUGAGUUUAGCAGAACAUUCUGGAAAGUAUAGCCAUAGAGGGUGAUAGUCCCGUAUGCGAAAAACAAACCUUAGCUAGCAGUAUCCUGAGUAGGGCGGGACACGAGAAAUCCUGUCUGAAGCUGGGUCGACCACGAUCCAACCCUAAAUACUAAUACCAGAUCGAUAGUGCACAAGUACCGUGAGGGAAAGGUGAAAAGAACUGAGGUGAUCAGAGUGAAAUAGAACCUGAAACCAUUUGCUUACAAUCAUUCAGAGCCCUAUGUAGCAAUACAGGGUGAUGGACUGCCUUUUGCAUAAUGAGCCUGCGAGUUGUGGUGUCUGGCAAGGUUAAGCAAACGCGAAGCCGUAGCGAAAGCGAGUCUGAAUAGGGCGCUUAGUCAGAUGCUGCAGACCCGAAACGAAGUGAUCUAUCCAUGAGCAAGUUGAAGCUAGUGUAAGAACUAGUGGAGGACUGAACCCAUAGGCGUUGAAAAGCCCCGGGAUGACUUGUGGAUAGGGGUGAAAGGCCAAUCAAACUUCGUGAUAGCUGGUUCUCUCCGAAAUAUAUUUAGGUAUAGCGUUGUGUCGUAAUAUAAGGGGGUAGAGCACUGAAUGGGCUAGGGCAUACACCAAUGUACCAAACCCUAUCAAACUCCGAAUACCUUAUAUGUAAUCACAGCAGUCAGGCGGCGAGUGAUAA
rnacentral:rRNA from 1 species